CAUUCCAUUAUCACCUUCCUAAUUUUUUCUAAUCUAGUUCUUUGGCAAGUAGCGUCAUUGAUGUUUUAACAUCCUGGGGAAAUUUGAUGUCUGGACGAAAUUUCUCGGGCCUGCCAGACUAUUGUGCCAUUCCCAUUUGCCAUCAGCUUUGAAUUGUAGACGCUCACUUUUUUAUGUAAGAAAACAGAAAAAAAAAAAAAAAAA
rnacentral:lncRNA from 1 species